AUAUGUCUCGCUAAAUUGCAGCCGACACAUCCGCAUAUUUGGUUUUCCCUAAAAUAUUUGAUUGCUCCUUCCAUUAACUGUGACAACGUGCGUUAAGCCUUUGUGGCAUAUAGUAGAUCUCUCUCUGUCUCAGUGUAAAGUGAAGACACUGAAUAAUUGAAGUGCCUUUUGCUCUGAGGUGGAGAGUGAAAACGAGAGAAAGAUAUAUCAAUUAUCCUGGAUUGUCAAGCAGAUAAUGAAAUUCAUGGGUAAAGAAAAAAAAAAUCAGGAGGAGUGGAUUUAUUAGCCUUAUAUCAUGUGCUAAAACAAAACAAACUUGAUGUGUUUUUGCUUCCAGAGAGCAGCAGCUGCUGAUAUGUCGCGCUGAGUUUGUGGAUGGAGAAAACAAAAACUGCAGCCUUUGCAUUUUAUCCCAUUUUCUUCCAGGAAAACUAAACGCUCACAGGGGAGCGUGUGUUGUCACCAUUCCUUUAACAUGGUCAAUUUAUAUUACAGCACUGUUUGUAGAAUUUGCCCCCAAGACUUUUUCAUUUGAUUGUGGAAAUGGCUAAACAGUGCGAGUGGGUGUUGUUGCCUCCGCUCUGCUAUCAGAAGUGGAAUCUAGGAGGAAUUCAGCAAACGUGGAGUGAGUUCAGAGCAGGAAUCGUCAGGAAAAACAGGAGAGAGAAAUGUGUUUGGUGAAGAAAUAAAACUGGCACCCUGCAAAAACAUCAUAAAGAUCCAUAAGUUAAACAAUUAUAUUAAUAAAAUUUGUUUUUGGGUAUUAUUCUAGUCUAGAAUAAACCCCAUAUUCACAAUUCACAACGGUUAAUUUUAUUCCUUUUUAUUAUUCCUUUAAAACUAAAGGAAAGUAAAGAAAGGGAACUAAAGGAACUAAAGAAAGUAACGAAAGCUCCCAUGUGCUACUGUAUGAGAGCUUUAUCUUUCCUGUCCCUCAAUCACAAAACUGACAAUCAAACAAAUCACAUUUUCUUGAAGACCUUCAACACUCUCUACAACCUAUUACAACAUGGUUGGAUCUUUAGGAUCUGGAUUAGGGAAACCUAAUUCAGUAUCAUUACCCUCACUAUGGUGCUACUCUUAGUACAAACCAAAUAUGUUAUUAAUGUUAUGUUUUAUCCAUGAGAUAUGCUACUACACCCUCACUACUCUCUCUUUUACGACCUUCCCAUGGAAAUCCUUCCACAUAUGCCUGUGUUUGCACUAUGCACUAGUCUUCACCCUGAGAUGAGUUUUAGGAUACAAGAAGGUGUCCUUCAAAAGUAUUCAACCCAUGUUCAAGUCCUUCAACCAAUUCUCAAAUUCCUAACUUUAACUGGGCCAUAUAAAUACACAAGAAUGCUGUCAAUUAUAUCACUGUAGCUCUGCCUGCAUGUCUGUGUUUGUUGUCAUGCUUGAAGGUGAACCUCCACCCCAGUCUCAAGUCUUUUGCAGUCUCUAACAGGUUAAUUUCCAGGUUUGUCUUGUAUUUAGCUCCAUUCAUCUUCAAAACACCUUUGACCUUCUUGCAGAUGUUUUUUUGCUAUGUCCCCAACAUAGCUUACAUCAAACUGUAAACAAGACUUCUUAAGACUUUCUUUAAACAAUAUAUUUUUUCUUGCCACUCUACCAUAAUGGCCAGAUUUGUGGAAUGUAUAACUAAUUGUUGUCGUUUCAACAGAUUCACUGACUGUGGCUGUGGCUCUUGGCUGCUUCUCUGAUUAAGCUUCUCCUUGCUUGUCAGUUUAGGUGGAUGGUCAAGUCUUUGUUAGUUUGCAGCUGUGCCAUAAUCCAUUUUCAGAUGAUGGACUGAAUGGUACUUUGUGAGAUGUUCAAUGCUUGGUAUUAUUUUAUAACUUUUGCUUUAAACGUCCCCACAACUUUACCUGUAUCCUUGGUGUUUCUGUUGAUUCUAUUUGUUAAUUUAUGUUCUCCAACAAAUCUCUGAAGUCUUCAUAAAACAGCUGUAUUUAUACUGAGAUUAAAUUACACAUAGUUACACAUCUAUUUAUUUAUUAGGCAGUUGGCUGCACUGUAUUUUAUCUAGGGGUGUCAAAUAAUUAAUUUUCACAACACUUGAAACGUUCACUGUGUGAGAACAUCAACUUGGUUCUUAUUAACUCUCUAAAUACCUUACCAUGUUGAUGCAAAGACCAUCCACAUUCAGAUUUUGUUUGUUUUUCUUAUUUUCUGUCAUAGCUGGUUUUGAUCCAAUUUAAGAGAGUCUUUUUAAACCUGCAAAAAAUGACAAAGACUAAUUGCGGAUAAAAUAUGAAGGAGUGGGUUAACAAGCUGGAUUCAGCUGCAGAUGGAUAUGUUUUAAAGGGUUACAGAGUAAGUGUUACCCUCAUUCAACCAAUGUACAUCUGGUUUUAAAAAUCUUUUAAGGUUUAAAUGAUUCCUCUAUCAAUUCAUGUUUACCCAGAGAUUUCACUUAGUUCUUAUUGAUGUUGGAUGUUUUUGGACCGUCUCUCUUGAAAGUCCUCGCUUUCCUGGUUUUAGAAAGGUUUUGAUACCCAGCUGCUCCAUUUGGACAUAUUUUCCUAGAUCGGGUCCCAUUGUCUCAGUCACUAGAUAUGGCAGCACUAAUCAUUUCUUUCAGAUGUUACUGUGUGCAAUGGUUCUCUCCGAGUACUCAUGCUGUCCGCCACAGUACAAAACAUGACUGUUAGGUAAAUUGGUUUCUAUAAAAAUCCCUCUUUGGUAUGUGGGUGUGCCUGUUUUUUCUCUCUUGUGUGGUUCUGUGUUGCCCUGUGAUGGACUGGCUACCUGUCCAGGGUGUACCUGCAUCUUGUUAUUUGGCCGUUGGAGACAUACAUCCAUGCCCGAUGACCCUGCAUGGAUAAUUUAAUACUGACAAUGGGUGGGCUGGACGGAUAAUAGUUAUUAUGUAAUGAAAGAAAAUGAAAGGACAUAAAGAUGGGAUGUGUGCUCAUGACAAGCAUGUUUCUGAAUACACUCCAGCACACACACUUUAUACAGAUUCAGAAGUAAUAAGUUCAUAAUACAACAAUAAGGUGAACAAAACAACAAUAUACAUCAGACUUAAGGAUACAACAAUACCCACAUAUUUAGUUAUCAAUCUGGUAUUCAUAGCUUUUUUUAAACACAUUUUAUAAAGGUUCCCCUGUCUGAUUUUUCCUGUUUCCAUGAACACAUGCAUACUCUGUAUCUACAGACCUUCACAUUACUACUGGGGGCUUAUAUGUUCUUGAGAUUGAGUGCAUAGAAGUAUUUGGGUGGGACAAAGAAGACCAUCUUACCAGAAUGUACAACAUGCAACAGUAAGUAAUGGUGCAAUCACAUUGCUGGUCCAGUGUUCUGUCAUUUCAGCAUACAAAUCAAAGUAGCCUACAUUGCAUCAAUGUGCAUGCGCACCAAUGCUCAAUGAAGAAAAAAUCUCCCACUUGAAUUUGAGCAUUCAGGUUAGCAUACAGGCAAUAAAAACAGUAAGUACAUAUGUUUUGGAAUUUUUCUUUAGAGAUAACUAUAGAGCUUCCUGGUUUACAAUUUACACGGUUCCGUUACAUCAUUACAGUAUUGCAGUAAUGCAGCCAGACACUUAGGUCCUGUGUACACGACAUUACCUACAUUGCAUUAUUUCAUGAAAUGGUUCAGCUUUAGGACUAAUGUAAUAGUUAGGGGCAUGAUUAAAAUAUUGUCUAAUAAUGUCAAGUUCUUUGUUUACAUAUUGCGGCAAUUUUGUUGGACUUCAUAUGCUGUUAGUUCAAAAAUAAAAAAAAAGCUACAGCUUGCACUUUCCAAAUAGAUUUAUUUUAAUGACCAGUAUUCAAUCUUUGAAGACCUUCCCUACCAUGAUUUUCUCAUUUAUAGAACAAACAUCUUCAAACAAUGGAAAGUAAAUGGGAAAAGAAUUACAAGUAUUUGUCUGAGGGUUCCUAUCCACCAGAGUGCACCAGAGGACAAAGGCAAACCCUCAGGAAAUUUGUCUCUAAAUUUAGCAUUCAUGGUAAGGACUUCAAAUUCAAAGGACACCACACAUUUUCUGUAUUUCAAUGAUUAUUACAUUCUUUAAAUAAAGAUGGAAAGUUGUUCUUUGGAGCUGAGUCUCACUGCAAAGCCUUAAAAUCCAGAGAGGAGGCUGUGAGUCUGAGUUACAUGUAUCGCCCAUGGGAGGACACACAGGCAUCACAAAGAUUUUAUUGGCAUGGUUUAACUACUGACAUGAGAAAUUGGUAUGUAGCCUCAUUGUUAACAUUAUCCUUAAGCUCUAAUGUACAAUCUAUAUAUGUCAAGUAAAACUACAAUCUUCUAGGUUUCUAAAUGUGACCAGUGUCGAAGAGUUGGACCUUCAUUGGGGGUAGUCAAGAUGCUGGAUCGCAUCAAGUUUGCAGAACACUACAUUGAAGAGGAAAGUCUGCAGUCGAUUAGCACUGUAACUGCGGAAAUGUGCCAGGCCCGACUGGACAUUGCAACUACUGAGAAUGUGGAAGACUAUCGUGUCACCUACAACAUGUUGCAAUAUGACGCUGACCUAAGCCUCAUUGAUAUGAUAAAAACACAAUCAUAGCAUUGUAUACUUCCAAAUCAUUACACAUUUGAUUUUAUUACUGUUUUUGUUUGUUUCCACUCCAUAGAUACCAUGUGACAUUUGUCCAUGAUGGACUCACAAAGAAUGUGAUACCCACUUGGUUGGAGACUUUGAGUGCACAAAAUGUAAAUUAAAUUUGUGUUUGAAGAGAGUAGCUACUGUAUAAUAACAUAUCUAGUUUUUAUAUAAUGUAAACUUUAUCUGCUUUAUCUAAAUAUUAUCAUCGUAAAGGCUGUUGA